rnacentral:rRNA from 1 species
UCCUAGCCGUAAACGAUGUGGGCUGAGUGUUUCUUGAACCUCGUGUUCAGGAAGUGCUGAAGGGAAACUGUUAAGCCCACCGCCUGGGGAGUACGGUCGCAAGGCUGAAACUUAAAGGAAUUGGCGGGGGAGCACCACAAGGGGUGGAGUCUGCGGUUUAAUUGGAUAAAACGCCGGGAAACUUACCAGGGGCGACGGCAGGAUGAAGGUCAGGUUAAAGGUCUUACCGAACGAGCCGAGAGGUAGUGCAUGG